rnacentral:rRNA from 1 species
CCUACGGGGGGCAGCAGUCGAGAAUAAUUCACAAUGGGGGCAACCCUGAUGGUGCAACGCCGCGUGGAGGAUGACGGUCUUCGGAUUGUAAACUCCUGUCAUCUGGGAGUAAGGCAUGGUCGUUAAUAGCGGACAUGAUUGAUAGUACCAGAAGAGGAAGGGACGGCUAACUUCGUGCCAGCAGCCGCGGUAAUACGAAGGUCCCAAGCGUUGUUCGGAAUCACUGGGCGUAAAGGGAGCGUAGGCGGCGUGGUAAGUCAGAUGUGAAAUCCCGGGGCUCAACCCCGGAACUGCAUCCGAUACUGCCAUGCUAGAGGAUUGGAGAGGUAGCUGGAAUUCUUGGUGUAGCAGUGAAAUGCGUAGAGAUCAAGAGGAACACUCGUGGCGAAAGCGAGCUACUGGACAAUUCCUGACGCUGAGGCUCGAAGGCUAGGGUAGCGAAAGGGAUUAGAUACCCCAGUAGUC